AUUGAACGCUGGCGGCAGGCCUAACACAUGCAAGUCGAGCGAGUGGCGGACGGGUGAGUAAUGUCUGGGAAACUGCCUGAUGGAGGGGGAUAACUACUGGAAACGGUAGCUAAUACCGCAUACCAUCAGAUGUGCCCAGAUGGGAUUAGCUUGUUGGUGGGGUAAUGGCUCACCUAGGCGACGAUCCCUAGCUGGUCUGAGAGGAUGACCAGCCAAACUGGAACGGAGCAACGGUCCAGACUCCUACGGGAGGCAGCAGUGGGGAAUAUUGCACAAUGGGCGCAAGCCUGAGGCAGCAAUGCCGCGUGUGUGAAGAAGGCCUUCGGGUGGUAAAGUACUUUCAGGGAGGAGGCGUUACCCGCAGAAGAAGCACCGGCUAACUCCGUGCCAGCAGCCGCGGUAAUAC
rnacentral:rRNA from 1 species